rnacentral:other from 1 species
UAAGCCCUGCGGUGCUCGUGAUUAGCCGUAAGUUUUGAGCCAACACCUAUACAAAGGGAGCCUGGUCUCUGGAUGUGGCUUGUAAGCCCCGGUAAGGGGAAACAAAAAGCAUCCAGGAGGGCACCCACCUGAGAGAUCAGGUUCAUAAAACUACGGCGGAUCACGGCAUUUGUGGGGUUGAA